rnacentral:rRNA from 1 species
AUGAAACGUAUAACUAAGGAUAUUCCAAAAUUUGCCCUUGAUAGAGUUCUUCAUUUUGAUCUAGAGGAAAUUUAUAUGUAUUGUGCGGUGAAUUGUAUUGACAAUCCUUAUAUUGCCAACUACAUAAAGAAAAGAAAACAAAUAGAAGAUGAAGAGAAUACUAAUGAAAGGGAAGAGACUUCCCAAUAUACUCCUAUUAUUUCUUAUGAUGAAUCAGGUAACGAGGAGGAGCCUCCUAUUCAACCAAUCUCAUUAAUAAGGAGCUCCAAAAAGAGGAUUGAACCCACACAUGAUGUGGUGAAGAAGAAGAAAAGAAAAAGGAAGAGAGGUAAAAAGAUAUCUCUCCCAAAUAAUGCUGCUCCUAUUACUAUUGUGCCUCAUGAAAAUAUAAUUGUGGAAGAUAAUGAUACUUCUUAUGAUCUUGAAAAUCUUUUUGGCACUUGCUUGGAAGAAUAUAAUAAUUGCUAUACUAUUGGUGCUAUCCAUACUAUUAAUGAUGAGAGUGAUUAUGCUUAUGAUAUGAAAAGGCCCAAACUUAGGGAUGCUAUGUUUGAUGAAGAUGAUGUUUUUGAGAAUAUAUUUUCUGCAAUUAAUGUUUGUCCCAAGCCUGGGGAUGCUACACUUAAUGAAGAUAAUAUUUUUAGUCUCCCAAGUUUUAAUAUGCAAAUUUAUAAUGAUGAUAGCAUGCCUCCUACUUAUGAUAAUUAUUGUGAUGCUACAUAUGCUAUAAAAAGUAGUGAUUAUAUUUAUAAAACUUGUCACGAUUAUGAUUACCCCUUCUCUAAACAUUACUCUUUUAAUGUGGAAAUAAUUUAUUGUAUUCAAGUCUCUUAUGAUACUCCCACUAUUCCGAAUGAGAAGAAUUUUGCUUAUGUGGAGAGUAGUAAAUUUUCUAUGCUUGUAGAUCAUGAAAAAAGUGAUUUAGGUGCUGGUUAUAUUGUUGAAUUCAUUCAUGAUGCUACUGGAAAUUAUUAUGAGGGAGGAAUAUAUGCUUGUAGGAAUUGCAAUAAUAUCAAGUUUCCUCUCUAUGUGCUUAAAGUUUCGAAAUUAUGCUUGUUUUACCAUCCUAUGCAAGUGUAUUCUUGUUCCCAAAAGUUGUUUGCUCACAAAAUCCCUAUGCAUAGGAAGUGGGUUAGACUUAAAUGUGCUAGUAAUAUUCUUCAUGAUGCUCUCUUUAUGUUACUAUUCUUAUCUUUUAUGUGA